UACGACCACAACACUUUGAAACACCGGUUCUUGUACGAUCAUCGAAGUUAAGCAAUGUCGAGCUUGGUCAGUAUCUAGAUGGUUGAGCGCUUAGGAAUUCCAGGUGUUGUAAG